rnacentral:lncRNA from 1 species
CCGCUACUCCAAAUCAAGUUCGAUGCCGCUUACUUAGAUGGUAUGCAUUCAUCUAAACUGUGACCAUGCUUUCUGUCAGAUUCCUCCGCAAUUUAUAACAUUUUGGUGCUAAAAAACCCUGCCUCAUUCAGCCAUUUUCCAUGAUCCGGUAUACAAGUUUGCGAAUUCAGAUUCUUCUUUCAUGUUAUUGUCUCUGGCCUCUUGGCAACAUUUUUCUGAACAUAUCUUAGGUAAGAUCCUUGUAGUCUGUUUUUGUUCUAUAGAAAGUUGUGUGCAAGACUACCAUCCACAAAACAAUGCAUGUAGAUAUGAUAUAUCUCAAUCUACUGAGUCACAGGUUUUAGAUUUGAGCUAUAAGCAAAGGAUCUUUCCAAAAGAGUCACUCAGUAGCAAAUUUACCUGCCAAUUUGUUUUAGCCGUCCUCCCUUUACAUGGUGGGGUAUAUAUUAGGGUGAUUGCAAUAUCCUAUUUUUGUGUUUUUUUUUUCCUGGAUGGUGCUCCUUUUUCAAAAUUUUCAAACCAU